AUUGAACGCUGGCGGCAUGCUUUACACAUGCAAGUCGAACGGUAACAGGCCUUCGGGUGCUGACGAGUGGCGAACGGGUGAGUAAUGCAUCGGAACGUGCCCAGAGGUGGGGGAUAACGCAGCGAAAGCUGUGCUAAUACCGCAUGUGAUCUGAGGAUGAAAGCGGGGGACCCAGCAGCAAUGUUUGGCCUCGCGCCUCUGGAGCGGCCGAUGUCAGAUUAGGUAGUUGGUGGGGUAAAGGCCUACCAAGCCGACGAUCUGUAGCUGGUCUGAGAGGACGACCAGCCACACUGGGACUGAGACACGGCCCAGACUCCUACGGGAGGCAGCAGUGGGGAAUUUUGGACAAUGGGCGCAAGCCUGAUCCAGCAAUGCCGCGUGCGGGAAGAAGGCCUUCGGGUUGUAAACCGCUUUUGUACGGAACGAAAAGGCUCUGGCUAAUACCUGGGGCUGAUGACGGUACCGUAAGAAUAAGCACCGGCUAACUACGUA
rnacentral:rRNA from 1 species